rnacentral:rRNA from 1 species
AUACGUAGGGAGCAAGCGUUGUCCGGAAUUAUUGGGCGUAAAGGGUGCGUAGGCGGCGCUGCAAGUCAGAUGUGAAAUCCCCGGGCUUAACUCGGGGGGUGCAUUUGAAACUGCGGCGCUUGAGUGCAGGAGAGGAAAGCGGAAUUCCUAGUGUAGCGGUGAAAUGCGUAGAUAUUAGGAAGAACACCGGUGGCGAAGGCGGCUUUCUGGACUGCAACUGACGCUGAGGCACGAAAGCGUGGGGAGCAAACAGGAUUAGAUACCCUGGUAGUCCACGCUGUAAACUAUGGAUACUAGGUGUGGGGGAGAUACAACCUCCGUGCCGCAGCAAACGCAAUAAGUAUCCCGCCUGGGGAGUACGGUCGCAAGGCUGAA